rnacentral:rRNA from 1 species
UACGUAGGGUGCAAGCGUUGUCCGGAAUUAUUGGGCGUAAAGGGCUCGUAGGCGGUUUGUCGCGUCGGGAGUGAAAACAUCGGGCUUAACUCGGUGCUUGCUUUCGAUACGGGCAGACUAGAGGUAUUCAGGGGAGAACGGAAUUCCUGGUGUAGCGGUGAAAUGCGCAGAUAUCAGGAGGAACACCGGUGGCGAAGGCGGUUCUCUGGGAAUAUCCUGACGCUGAGGAGCGAAAGUGUGGGGAGCGAACAGG